rnacentral:rRNA from 1 species
UACGUAGGUGGCAAGCGUUGUCCGGAAUUACUGGGCGUAAAGGGCGCGUAGGCGGGAGGCCAAGUCGGUCGUGAAAUCUUCGGGCUCAACUCGAAGGCGUCGGCCGAAACUGGUUUUCUUGAGGGAGGCAGAGGAGUCUGGAAUUCCCGGUGUAGCGGUGAAAUGUGUAGAGAUCGGGAGGAACACCGGUGGCGAAGGCGGGACUCUGGGCCUACCCUGACGCUGAGGCGCGAAGGCGUGGGGAGCAAAC